rnacentral:rRNA from 1 species
ACCCGCUGAACUUAAGCAUAUCAAUAAGCGRAG